ACGGGUGAGUAAUGUCUGGGGAUCUGCCCGAUAGAGGGGGAUUACCACUGGAAACGGUGGCUAAUACCGCAUAACGUCGCAAGACCAAAGAGGGGGACCUUCGGGCCUCUCACUAUCGGAUGAACCCAGAUGGGAUUAGCUAGUAGGCGGGGUAAUGGCCCACCUAGGCGACGAUCCCUAGCUGGUCUGAGAGGAUGACCAGCCACACUGGAACUGAGACACGGUCCAGACUCCUACGGGAGGCAGCAGUGGGGAAUAUUGCACAAUGGGCGCAAGCCUGAUGCAGCCAUGCCGCGUGUAUGAAGAAGGCCUUCGGGUUGUAAAGUACUUUCAGCGGGGAGGAAGGCGGUGAGGUUAAUAACCUUGCCGAUUGACGUUACCCGCAGAAGAAGCACCGGCUAACUCCGUGCCAGCAGCCGCGGUAAUACGGAGGGUGCAAGCGUUAAUCGGAAUUACUGGGCGUAAAGCGCACGCAGGCGGUUUGUUAAGUCAGAUGUGAAAUCCCCGGGCUUAACCUGGGAACUGCAUUUGAAACUGGCAGGCUUGAGUCUCGUAGAGGGGGGUAGAAUUCCAGGUGUAGC
rnacentral:rRNA from 1 species